GAUGCACACUGUCUGGGGGAUGGGCACACGUACAACUUUGACUCAAAUGGUACAAAAGCGAUUUAUGGAACCAAAACGUUCGUACCCCCGUAAUAUUCUGCAAUAAGAAAUAAUACCAUAGACUGCGUGCCUUGUGAACAGCCGAGACUUACUUUCCUAAAGCUAGAAGUGUGAGCUCCGGGGACCAGUGGGGUCAGGUUCUGGUGCAAGCUCUUUCAGAUGACAGGUGGCGCCUUCUUUUUGUAUCCUUACAUGGCAGGCCAACAGCAAGGGGAGAUUUCCGGGGUGUCUCUUGUGAGGUCACUAAGCCCAUUCAUCAGGCUCCACCCUCAUGACCUCAUCACCUCCCAAAGGCCUCAUCUUCUAACACCACCACCUGGAGGGUAGGGAUUUCAACCUGUGACUUUGCAGGGCGGCGGGGGGCGGGGGGGGGGCAUAGACAUCCAGUCCGUUGCGUCCCGCCAGAUGAAAAGAGGUGGAUGUGAGAUGCAGAGACUGUUUGGGGAAUGGGGCAUGCCUGAGGAUGCACCUUCUAGAACUUCAUAGGAACUUUAGCACCUCCAUGACCUGUUUACAUCUCCCUGAGAGCUGAGCAAAUCAGAGACAGGGUGGGGGUCUCUGAGAUUUGGCUGUGAGAUGGAGAUGGUUUUGAACAUCCUGGUUUUGAUCUUCUGUGGUGUUCGUGGUGGGGCAGUGUCUCUUGUAUCAUUAAAGGCAUGACAAGUUUUCCAGGAUUUGAAAUGUCUGGAACUUCUGCCAUCAUUUGAAAUGACUUGGUCAAAAUGGUGCUGGCUCUUGAACGGAGGAAGUAAUAGGUCCUCUCUGAGGGCUGGAUGGAUGUGGGCUGGUGGCCCCAGUGAUGGUGGAGGAGCAUGGGGAGAAGACCCUCCAGGCUGAGAGAGAGAGGACCGUGGCAUCCACUGCUGGUUGUCCUUGCCCCGUGGCACCUCCAGGGUAGUGACCUUCUUCAUUUUCUUAAUCUUAGCAAAACUAGGCAGUGUUGGAAGAAAAAAAUAAUGCCCCACCUCUCUCUGCUCUUUUUUUUUUUUUUUUUUCUGCCUCAGUGUGGUGGUUUAGGUGAUGAUGAAGUCUAGUUGGGUAGAUCAUGUGAGGUCUAGUUCAGUUAAGUUGUAUGAGACCUAGUUGAGUUAGGUCAUAUGAGAUCUAGUUGUAUCAAGUCAUGAUGAGGUCUAUGUGGGUAGGCCAUGUGAGGUCUAGUUGUGCAGGCUAUGUGAGGUCUAUUUAAGUUACAUCAUGAUGAGAUCUAGUUGGAUUAGGUCAUAUGAGGUCUAGUUGUAUAGGUCAUGUGAGUUCUAGUUGAGUUAUGUCAUGAUGAGAUCUAGCUAGAUUAGGUCAUAUGAGGUCUAGUUGGGGCAGGUCUAGUUGAAUUAUGUCAUGAUGAGAUAUAGAUGAGUUUGGUCAUAUGAGGUCUGGUUGGGUAGGUCAUGUGAGGUCUAGUUGAGUUACGUCCUCAGGAGAUCCAUAUGGAUUAGGUCAUAUGAGAUCUAGUUGAGUUGUAUCAUGAUGAGAUCUAGAUGGAUUAGUUCAUAUGAGGUCUAGUUGGGUAGGUCAUGUGAGGUCUAGUUGUAUUAGGGCAUGAUGAGAUCUAGUUGAAUUAGGUCAUAUGAGGUCUAGUUGGUAGGUCAUGUGAGGUCUAGUUGUAUUAGGGCAUGAUGAGAUCUAGUUGAAUUAGGUCAUAUGAGGUCUAGUUGGGUAGGUCAUGUGAGGUCCAGUUGAGUUAUGUCAUGAUGAGAUCUAGUUGAAUUAGGUCAUAUGAGGUCUAGUUGGGUAGGUCAUAUGAGGUCUAGUUGUAUUAGGGCAUGAUGAGAUCUAGUUGAAUUAGGUCAUAUGAGGUCUAGUUGGGUAGGUCAUGUGAGGUCUAGUUGUAUUAGGGCAUGAUGAGAUCUAGUUGAAUUAGGUCAUAUGAGGUCUAGUUGGGUAGGUCAUAUGAGGUCUAGUUGUAUUAGGGCAUGAUGAGAUCUAGUUGAAUUAGGUCAUAUGAGGUCUAGUUGGGUAGGUCAUGUGAGGUCCAGUUGAGUUAUGUCAUGAUGAGAUCUAGUUGAAUUAGGUCAUAUGAGGUCUAGUUGGGUAGGUCAUGUGAGGUCCAGUUGAGUUAUGUCAUGAUGGGAUCUAGUUGAAUUAGGUCAUAUGAGGUCUAGUUGGGUAGGUCAUGUGGGGUCCAGUUGAGUUAUGUCAUGAUGGGAUCUAGUUGAAUUAGGUCAUAUGAGGUCUAGUUGGGUAGGUCAUGUGAGGUCUAGUUGUAUUAGGGCAUGAUGAGAUCUAGUUGAAUUAGGUCAUAUGAGGUCUAGUUGGUAGGUCACAUGAGUUCUAGUUGGGUUAGGUUUUGAUGAGAUCUAGUUGGGUAGGCCAUGUGAUGUGUAGCUGUAUCAGUUCACAAUAAGGUCUAGGUUGGUUACUUCCUGAAGAGGAAGUUGGGUAGGACAUGACAAAGUCAUGUCAUCUUGUUGGGUUCAGAAACACUGGUCGGUUUAGAGCACUACGAGGUGUGGUUUGCUUAGGUUGUGUUGAAGUCUCUUUCUGCACUAGCAUAAUGAGAUCUGGUUGGAUCAGAUCACAGUCGUGUGGGGUGUGGUUAGGUCAGGAUGAGGUCUGGUUCAGCGAGUUCGUCCUUUAGGCACCCUGCCAUGGACACAGGUAGGUGACCUCCUGGUACCGGUGCAGGGAGGGCUGGAGCCCCGGGUGGGGUGCUACCACCUCACUUAGGUGAUGUUCGCUGAGUACCAGGAGUAGUACCGGCCAGCACCAAGUGUGUCCUUCCUUCUUGGCAUAAACAGGGAGUACACUCUGUUUCCUCACCCUCCCUGUGUCUGCUUCCCCGUGGAGAUUCUGCAUCUGUGUUUAAUUUUCACCAUGCAUUUCAGUUUUGACCUCUCACGCCAACCCAAUCAGUUACGGAGUCUGAACUCCUCCGUGUGGCUUUGAGGAUAAUUGGCUAUAUCCCCAGAGAGGCAAUUUUUUAUUUUUGCAUGACAGUUUGAUUCAGAGUCACUUAAUGAAAAAAGUUAUUGUUGGACACUUAAGGAAUCUUAUGUCAAAUGCAUCGUAAGAGACGGCUGUAUUCCGCCUCCAACUUUUAAUUCUCCAAGCUGUUAAUAUUUAAAGAACAAUCGAUUACUUGAAAGCGAACCCAGAUCAUCACCUGGCCCGGGCUCGGGCACGUGAAUGUAGCUGGAAAUACAUCCAGUAUUCAGUUGCCCAUCUGUUCACCGUAUUUCAGCUCUGGUUGUUUCAAAAUAUUAUUUUGGUGGUGGGGGUGGGAAUCAUUAUUUCAUCAUAAUGCUUAAUGAUCUGUCCUCUAAGGUUUAGACCAGAGAUCGGUAAGCUGUUUAAUAAAAGUUUUCAUAGUUUUCUCUCACAACUAUCAACUCUGCCAUUGUAGUAGGAAAUCAGCCACAGAUAAUAUUUCAAAAAAUGAGUAGAUUGACGUCCUAGUACAACUUUUUUUUUUUUGUACAACAGGCUGACAGCCACAUUUGGCCAGAGUUUGGUG